CAGUAGCCGCGGGAAUACAGAGGGUGCGAGCGUUAAUCGGAUUUACUGGGCGUAAAGCGUGCGUAGGCGGCUUCUUAAGUCGGAUGUGAAAUCCCUGAGCUUAACUUAGGAAUUGCAUUCGAUACUGGGAAGCUAGAGUAUGGGAGAGGAUGGUAGAAUUCCAGGUGUAGCGGUGAAAUGCGUAGAGAUCUUGAGGAAUACCGAUGGCGAAGGCAGCCAUCUGGCCUAAUACUGACGCUGAGGUACGAAAGCAUGGGGAGCAAACAGGAUUAGAUACCCCUGUAGUCCCUGUCUCUUAUAC
rnacentral:rRNA from 1 species